UACGUAGGGGGGCAAGCGUUGUCCGGAAUCAUUGGGCGUAAAGAGCGUGUAGGCGGUUCGGUAAGUCCGCUGUAAAAGUCCAGGGCUCAACCCUGGAAAGCCGGUGGAAACUGCCGAACUAGAGUCCGGAAGAGGCGAGUGGAAUUCCUGGUGUAGCGGUGAAAUGCGCAGAUAUCAGGAGGAACACCAAUGGCGAAGGCAGCUCGCUGGGACGGUACUGACGCUGGGACGCGAAAGCGUGGGGAGCAAACAGGG
rnacentral:rRNA from 1 species